AUUGAACGCUGGCGGCAGGCCUAACACAUGCAAGUCGAAUGGUAACAGGAUACAGCUUGCUGUUUCGCUGACGAGAGGCGGACGGGUGUGAAAUGUCUGGGAAACUGUAUGAUUGCGGGGGAUAACUACUGGAAACGGUAGCUAAUACCGCAUAACGUCGCAAGACCAAAGAGGGGGACCUUCGCGCCUCUUGCCCUCAGAUGUGCCCAGAUGGGAUUAUCUAGUAGGUGGGGUAACGGCUCACCUAGGCGACGAUCCCUAGCUGGUCUGAGAGGAUGACCAGCCACACUGGAACUGAGACACGGUCCAGACUCCUACGGGAGGCAGCAGUGGGGAAUAUUGCACAAUGGGCGCAAGCCUGAUGCAGCCAUACCGCGUGUGUGAAGAAGGCCUUCGGGUUGUAAAGUACUUUCGGCGGGAAAGAAAGGAGUAAAGUUAAUACCUUUGCUUAUUGACGUUACCCGAAGAAGAAGCAACGGCUAACUCCGUG
rnacentral:rRNA from 1 species